rnacentral:hammerhead_ribozyme from 1 species
CUCAAGCUGACGAGUCCCAAAUAGGACGAAACGUGCGUCCUGGAU